GAUGAAGAACGCAGCGAAAUGCGAUAAGUAGUGUGAAUUGCAGAAUUCAGUGAAUCAUCGAAUCUUUGAACGCACAUUGCGCCCUUUGGUAUUCCAAAGGGCAUGCCUGUUCGGGCGUCAUUUGUACCCUCAAGCUUUGCUUGGUGUUGGGCGUCUUGUCUCUAGCUUUGCUGGAGACUCGCCUUAAAGUAAUUGGCAGCCGGCCUACUGGUUUCGGAGCGCAGCACAAGUCGCACUCUCUAUCAGCAAAGGUCUAGCAUCCAUUAAGCCUUUUUUUCAACUUUUGACCUCGGAUCAGGUAGGGAUACCCGCUGAACUUAAGCAUAUCAAUAAGCGGAGGA
rnacentral:misc_RNA from 1 species